GCUGUCCAAGUUGGAGUGUCUAGGUGUUUUCUUUCUUUGGAUUUCAAUGUUUAAAUUUAUUUAUCUUUGCUUUGUGCAUAUGAGGAACUAAACCCCCCUUGGCUAGGGGGGAUUCGAAACCAUGUUUUUGCUUGCUAUAUAAUUUGAUUACUUUCAAUUGCGUUUCAUAAGUUGUGAAUUCAAUUUGCUUAUCUAUAUGAAUUAAAACUGAUUUGUGUGUGUUGGUUGAGAGUGCAUGCUUAAUUUUCAUACAUAAAUCUAAUGCUAGGAUAUAAGGGAGUUUCGCCUAAUCGUUAUGAACUUAUAGUCAAGAGUAGUAAAGGUUGCUAAUCACAAUCGUGUUAAGUAAAUUAUUGGCAUAAGUUUCAUGCAAUUCAUAGUAACAAGUGCCUCGUCAAUGCUUAUGAUUUUUAUAGAACUUAAUGAUUCUUGCUUGUAUCUUUAUUAUGCAAUUCAUGUAGGGAACUUGUGGGGAAUGCUUUGGGUUGUUGUAUGCAAUCAUCCAAUUCAAUAACUUUAGGAAAAUCUGAGAGUUAAUUAGUGCAAUUCACGGUUAAUCUGGGGAGUUGAGGAUUCAUAGUUUAUUGCAAAGCAAUUGGAAAUCGUUUUGUAUGCAAGUGUGACAUGUGUGGAGAAGAACCUCCUAGCUAGCCAAUCAUCCAUCUAAUUCACCAAAUUUCGUUUAAAAUCUGUUUAAGUCUUUCUUGUUUAAUUUCAUUUAAUUUUCGUCCAAAACCAAACCCCUUUUACUUUAGAGUGCCUAACUAGUUAGAAUAUGUUUUAGAUUGUGUUUUUAAGUGUUUUGAGUCAAGAAAACCCAAUAAUUCGUCCAAAGGAGUGUUAGAGUUCAAAUAUGCCCAGUUUGUGUUUUUAGGCAGAUUUGAGUGUUUUUGGGUUGUUUUGAGUCUUUUGAGCUGUUUUAGUGUUUUCUAGUUUAGUUUUGCAUUCUUUGAGUCUAGUUUAGUGUUUUAAACUUUGUUUUAUGUUUUUGAGUCAGUUUUAAGUGUUUUAGCAAUCCAUCCUAAUCCCCGGCUUAGAACGAUCCCUACUUACAUACUUUGCUACAAUUGAUAAAAAUAGGGUUUAAUUUGUGUGCUUAUAUAUUUCGCAUCAUUAACCAUCUAUACCAAAAUUUGCCAAGAAUCCUCAUCGACACGAAAGCUCAGCACUAAAACCUGGAGGGGCAAAAAACAAGGGUGAGUGGGCCUAAAAAAUAAAGCUUGGUAAAAACCUUUUCAAAAACAUAAUAAUCCCUCACUAUAAAACAAGUAUAGUUUCCAAAAUAAACAUACUACGUAUAGUAAGAAUAUACUUGUCGUAGCCUGCAAAAUCUCAAGAACUCAAUACGUCACAAAAUUCAUAAAUAAAUACAUGAUGUCCGUAAUCAUAUAAUCUCGCAUAAUUAAACAUAUCAUAUCGAGUGCUCAUCGACACAUGUUGACACACGAGUUCAUGCAAAGAUAUUCUAACAUGAAUAGGAAUGGGUGUAACGAUGAUAUACGCCCUAGUACUACAAUAACAUGAAGACUGGCGUCAUGGGCAGCACAUACGAGUCCUAGUUGCCUAUAGCAAUUUAGGACAUAACUGGCACCUACAAUGGAUCCAAAGUGGGCGUACGGUGCGAUGUGCAUAUGCACAUAAAAGACUGGCCUGACCUAGGUGAGUACUAACACCGAUGCAGCAAACGAUGAGCAGAUAACAUAACUAAAAUCAUACAGCGGUAAAUCAAUAAUUUAAGUCGUCAUAAUACUAUUCCAUAAACAUUAAUCAUAUGGCCAUAAACAUAAUUAAGGCAUCCCCUUAUAGUGAGCUUACAUGUGCUUCUUGUAGGAUUAUUUCAUAAUUUCCAAUAAUAAGACAUUUCUUAUAAACAUUAAUUUAAUUAUGGCAAUCGCUUAGAAAAUUCAUUAAUAAGUAUAUAUGUGGAAACUAACCCAUAUAUAUAUAUAUAUAUAUAUAUUAUAAAAGAAAAGACUCACUCACAGUUACUUGCGAUGUCACAUCCGUUCGAGCUAGAAAGGUCGGAGUUUCUGAUAAUGAUUGCACCUAAGCAUAAUAUUGGGACCCAUCCAUAAAACUCCACUAAG
rnacentral:lncRNA from 1 species